rnacentral:piRNA from 1 species
UGAAAAAAUGCUCUUAAAAAA